UACAGAGGCCACAAGCGUUAGUCGGAAUCACUGGGCUUAAAGGGUGCGUAGGCGGAUUUCCAAGCGUCCUGUGAAAGCCUCCGGCUCAACCGGAGAACAGCAGGGCGAACUGGAAGUCUCGAGGUUGGUAGGGGCUCACAGAACUGUCGGUGGACGGGUGAAAUGGGUAGAGAUCGAGAGGAAUGCCGAUGGCGAAGGCGGUGAGCUGGGCCAAUUCUGACGCUGAGGCACGAAAGCGUGGGGAGCAAACAGG
rnacentral:rRNA from 1 species